rnacentral:rRNA from 1 species
AACGAACGCUGGCGGCGCGCCUAAUACAUGCAAGUCGAGCGAGAAGACGUAGCAAUACGUUUGUAAAGCGGCGAACGGGUGAGGAAUACAUGGGUAACCUACCCUCGAGUGGGGAAGUAACUAGCCGAAAGGUUAGCUAAUACCGCGUACGCUCCUUGGACUUCGGUUCAGGGAGGAAAGCGAUACCGUGGGUAGUCGCGCUCUUGGAUGGGCUCAUGUCCUAUCAGCUUGUUGGUGAGGUAACGGCUCACCAAGGCUUCGACGGGUAGCUGGUCUGAGAGGACGAUCAGCCACACUGGCACUGCGACACGGGCCAGACUCCUACGGGAGGCAGCAGUAAGGAAUAUUGCGCAAUGGGCGAAAGCCUGACGCAGCGACGCCGCGU